rnacentral:rRNA from 1 species
ACGAACGCUGGCGGCGUGCUUAACACCUGCAAGUCGAACGGAAAGGCCCUGCCUUUGUGGGGUGCUCGAGUGGCGAACGGGUGAGUAACACGUGAGUAACCUGCCCUUGACUUUGGGAUAACUUCAGGAAACUGGGGCUAAUACCGGAUAGGAGCUCCUGCUGCAUGGUGGGGGUUGGAAAGUUUCGGCGGUUGGGGAUGGACUCGCGGCUUAUCAGCUUGUUGGUGGGGUAGUGGCUUACCAAGGCUUUGACGGGUAGCCGGCCUGAGAGGGUGACCGGCCACAUUGGGACUGAGAUACGGCCCAGACUCCUACGGGAGGCAGCAGUGGGGAAUAUUGCACAAUGGGCGGAAGCCUGAUGCAGCAACGCCGCGUGCGGGAUGACGGCCUUCGGGUUGUAAACCGCUUUCGCCUGUGACGAAGCGUGAGUGACGGUAAUGGGUAAAGAAGCACCGGCUAACUACGUG